rnacentral:rRNA from 1 species
UACAUGCAGUCGAGCGAACAGACGAGGAGCUUGCUCCUCUGACGUUAGCGGCGGACGGGUGAGUAACACGUGGAUAACCUACCUAUAAGACUGGGAUAACUUCGGGAAACCGGAGCUAAUACCGGAUAAUAUAUUGAACCGCAUGGUUCAAUAGUGAAAGACGGUUUUGCUGUCACUUAUAGAUGGAUCCGCGCCGCAUUAGCUAGUUGGUAAGGUAACGGCUUACCAAGGCAACGAUGCGUAGCCGACCUGAGAGGGUGAUCGGCCACACUGGAACUGAGACACGGUCCAGACUCCUACGGGAGGCAGCAGUAGGGAAUCUUCCGCAAUGGGCGAAAGCCUGACGGAGCAACGCCGCGUGAGUGAUGAAGGUCUUCGGAUCGUAAAACUCUGUUAUUAGGGAAGAACAAAUGUGUAAGUAACUAUGCACGUCUUGACGGUACCUAAUCAGAAAGCCACGGCUAACUACGUGCCAGCAGCCGCGGUAAUACGUAGGUGGCAAGCGUUAUCCGGAAUUAUUGGGCGUAAAGCGCGCGUAGGCGGUUUUUUAAGUCUGAUGUGAAAGCCCACGGCUCAACCGUGGAGGGUCAUUGGAAACUGGAAAACUUGAGUGCAGAAGAGGAAAGUGGAAUUCCAUGUGUAGCGGUGAAAUGCGCAGAGAUAUGGAGGAACACCAGUGGCGAAGGCGACUUUCUGGUCUGUAACUGACGCUGAUGUGCGAAAGCGUGGGGAUCAAACAGGAUUAGAUACCCUGGUAGUCCACGCCGUAAACGAUGAGUGCUAAGUGUUAGGGGGUUUCCGCCCCUUAGUGCUGCAGCUAACGCAUUAAGCACUCCGCCUGGGGAGUACGACCGCAAGGUUGAAACUCAAAGGAAUUGACGGGGACCCGCACAAGCGGUGGAGCAUGUGGUUUAAUUCGAAGCAACGCGAAGAACCCUUACCAAAUCUUGACAUCCUCUGACCCCUCUAGAGAUAGAGUUUUCCCCUUCGGGGGACAGAGUGACAGGUGGUGCAUGAUUGUCGUCAGCUCGUGUC